UGAAUACGAGACGCUAAGGCGUCGAAGUAGUGUAUGUCAUACUUCCAAGAAAAGCUUGCACUGUCAUAGAUAAAAAACGCCUGUACCAUAACCGACACAGGUGGGUAGGUAGAGUAUACUAAGGGGCGCGAGAUAACUCUCUCUAAGGAACUCGGCAAAAUAACUCCGUAACUUCGGGAGAAGGAGUGCCUUAUUCUUAAGGUUGCAAUAACAAGAUCCAAGCAACUGUUUAUCAAAAACACAGGUCUCCGCUAAGUCGUAAGACGAUGUAUGGGGGCUGACGCCUGCCCAGUGCCAGAAGGUUAAAGAAGCUGGUUAGCAUUUGCGAAGCUAGUAACUGAAGCCCUGGUGAACGGCGGCCGUAACAAUAACGGUCCUAAGGUAGCGAAAUUCCUCGUCGGGUAAGUUCCGACCCGCACGAAAGGCGUAAUGAUUUGGAUACUGUCUCGGAGAGGGGCUCGGUGAAAUAGACUUGUCUGUGAAGAUGCGGACUACCUGCACCAGGACAGAAAGACCCUAUGAAGCUUUACUGUAACUUGAAAUUGAAAUUGGACUUUAUUCGCGCAGUAUAGGUGGGAGGCGUUGAUUAUAAUCUUGCGGGAUUAUUGGAGCCAUUAGUGAGAUACCACUCUUGUAAUGUUAGAUUUCUAACUUUGAAUCAUUAUCUGGUCAAAGAACAGUUUCAGGCGGGCAGUUUGACUGGGGCGGUCGCCUCCUAAACGGUAACGGAGGCGUACAAAGGUUUCCUCUGAACGGUUAGAAAUCGUAUCUAGAGUGUAAAGGCAUAAGGAAGCUUGACUGUGAGACCUACAAGUCGAGCAGGGACGAAAGUCGGUCUUAGUGAUCUGACGGUACUGAGUGGAAAGGCCGUCACUCAACGGAUAAAAGUUACUCUAAGGAUAACAGGCUGAUCUCCCCCAAGAGUUCACAUCGACGGGGAGGUUUGGCACCUCGAUGUCGGCUCAUCGCAUCCUGGGGCGGUAGUACGUCCCAAGGGUUGGGCUGUUCGCCCAUGAAAGCGGUACGCGAGCUGGGUUCAGAACGUCGUGAGACAGUUCGGUCCAUAUCCGGUGUAGGCGUUAGAAUAUUGAGAGGAGCCUUCUUUAGUACGAGAGGACCGAGAAGGACAUACCUCUGGUGUACCAGUUAUCGUGCCAACGGUAAACGCUGGGUAGCUAUGUAUGGAGUGGAUAACCGCUGAAAGCAUCUAAGUGGGAAGCCCACCUCAAGAUAAGUAUUCUCAU
rnacentral:rRNA from 1 species